rnacentral:rRNA from 1 species
AUGCUCAGCCUCGGCGCCCAUCCCUUCUUGCUUCCUUCCUCCUCCCCACUCCACACUCGCCCCCGAUCGAGACCCCUCUGCUCACCCACCAGCUCCGCGCCGACCGCCUCCUCCUCCUCACCGCCGCCCUCCCUCCGCUUCCUCCGCCGCGGCUGCGCCGCCGACCGGAGCCGGAGAGCGACGACGAUGGCCGCGGUAGUCUCCCCGGGGGACGGCGGCCUGGUCCACGACCUCAUGUCCUCAGGCGUCACCGCGGCCAUCGCCCUCGGCCUCCUCCGCUUCUUCGAGGAGCUCGCCAAGCGCGGCGUCUGCGACCAGAAACUGAAUAGGAAACUUGUGCACAUAACUAUUGGGAUGGUAUUCUUGCUCUUUUGGCCUCUUUUCAGCUCUGGAAGGUAUGCUCCUUUCUUUGCUGCACUUGCACCAGGGAUUAAUAUUAUAAGGAUGCUUCUAUUGGGGCUAGGAAUAAUGAAAAAUGAAGCUAUGGUCAAAUCAAUGAGCCGAUCUGGAGACCACAGGGAACUUCUCAAGGGACCACUGUAUUAUGCUACUACUAUAACUUUGGCCACGUCUGUAUUAUGGAGAACAUCUCCAAUUGCUAUAGCACUUGUCUGCAACUUGUGCGCUGGAGAUGGUAUAGCAGACGUAGUUGGGAGACGCUUUGGAAAAGAAAAGCUUCCAUACAACCCCAACAAGUCAUAUGCAGGAAGCAUAGCGAUGGCUGUGGCUGGUUUCUUGGCUUCAAUCGGGUACAUGCAUUACUUCCACAGUUUCGGUCUCAUGGAGGAGAGCUGGUACAUGACCUUGGGCUUCCUUGUGGUUUCUGUAGCCGCGGCACUUGUAGAGUCACACCCCAUCAGCACUGACCUGGAUGACAAUUUAACCGUUCCUUUGACAUCAUUCCUAGUCGGUAGCCUCGUUCUCUGA